rnacentral:rRNA from 1 species
UACAGAGGUCCCAAGCGUUGUUCGGAUUCACUGGGCGUAAAGGGUGCGUAGGCGGUGAGGUAAGUCGGAUGUGAAAUCUCCAAGCUCAACUUGGAAAUGGCAUUGGAAACUACCUCGCUAGAGGAUCGGAGGGGGGACUGGAAUACUUGGUGUAGCAGUGAAAUGCGUAGAUAUCAAGCGGAACACCAGUGGCGAAGGCGAGUCCCUGGACAACUCCUGACACUGAGGCACGAAAGCUAGGGGAGCAAACAGG